UAUACGACCGUACCGCAAACCGACACUGGUGCGCGAGAUGAGUAUUCUAAGCGCUUGAGAGAACUCAGGAGAAGGAACUCGGCAAAUUGACACCGUAACUUCGGAAGAAGGUGUGCCCUAUUAGUGUGUAGUGAACAACGAAGCAUGAAUGGGUUGCAAAAAAUCGGUGGCUGCGACUGUUUAUUAAAAACGCAGCACUCUGCAAACACGAAAGUGGACGUAUAGGGUGUGACGCCUGCCCGGUGCUGGAAGAUUAAAUGAUGGGGUGCAAGCUCUUGAUUGAAGUCCCAGUAAACGGCGGCCGUAACUAUAACGGUCCUAAGGUAGCGAAAUUCCUUGUCGGGUAAGUUCCGACCUGCACGAAUGGCGUAACGAUGGCCACACUGUCUCCUCCUGAGACUCAGCGAAGUUGAAAUGUUUGUGAUGAUGCAAUCUCCCCGCGGAAAGACGGAAAGACCCCAUGAACCUUUACUGUAGCUUUGUAUUGGACUUUGAACAGAUCUGUGUAGGAUAGGUGGGAGGCUUUGAAGCAGGGUCGCUAGAUCUUGUGGAGCCAACGUUGAAAUACCACCCUGGUGUGUUUGAGGUUCUAACCUAGGUCCAUUAUCUGGAUCGGGGACAGUGCAUGGUAGGCAGUUUGACUGGGGCGGUCUCCUCCCAAAGCGUAACGGAGGAGUUCGAAGGUACGCUAGUUACGGUCGGACAUCGUGACGAUAGUGCAAUGGCAUAAGCGUGCUUAACUGCGAGACUGACAAGUCGAGCAGAUGCGAAAGCAGGACAUAGUGAUCCGGUGGUUCUGUAUGGAAGGGCCAUCGCUCAACGGAUAAAAGGUACUCUGGGGAUAACAGGCUGAUACCGCCCAAGAGUUCAUAUCGACGGCGGUGUUUGGCACCUCGAUGUCGGCUCAUCUCAUCCUGGGGCUGUAGCCGGUCCCAAGGGUAUGGCUGUUCGCCAUUUAAAGAGGUACGUGAGCUGGGUUUAAAACGUCGUGAGACAGUUUGGUCCCUAUCUUCCGUGGGCGCUGCAGAUUUGAGGAAGCCUGCUCCUAGUACGAGAGGACCGGAGUGGACACACCUCUGGUGUAUCGGUUGUCACGCCAGUGGCAUUGCCGAGUAGCUAAGUGUGGAAGAGAUAACCGCUGAAAGCAUCUAAGCGGGAAACUCGUUUCAAGAUGAGAUCUGCCGGGGCCUUGAGCCCCCUAAAGAGUCGUUCAAGACCAGGACGUUGAUAGGUCAGGUGUGGAAGC
rnacentral:rRNA from 1 species